CCUACGGGGGGCUGCAGUGGGGAAUAUUGGACAAUGGGGGCAACCCUGAUCCAGCCAUGCCGCGUGUGUGAAGAAGGCCCUCUGGGUGUAAAGCACUUUCAGUGAGGAAGAACGCCUGGUGGUUAAUACCCAUCAGGAAAGACAUCACUCACAGAAGAAGCACCGGCUAACUCCGUGCCAGCAGCCGCGGUAAUACGGAGGGUGCGAGCGUUAAUCGGAAUUACUGGGCGUAAAGCGCGCGUAGGUGGCUUGAUAAGCCGGUUGUGAAAGCCCCGGGCUCAACCUGGGAACGGCAUCCGGAACUGUCAAGCUAGAGUGCAGGAGAGGAAGGUAGAAUUCCCGGUGUAGCGGUGAAAUGCGUAGAGAUCGGGAGGAAUACCAGUGGCGAAGGCGGCCUUCUGGACUGACACUGACACUGAGGUGCGAAAGCGUGGGUAGCAAACAGGAUUAGAUACCCUGGUAGUC
rnacentral:rRNA from 1 species